AUGUUAAACUUGCAUCGCACCGUUGAGGUUUUGGAUGAUGCCUUACGCUGGUUGGAGCAAACGGGAGAACCUGACGUACGCACUCACCUGAUGGAUCUCGGCCACGGACACACCUGCUUCACAGCUCUUCACUUUAUCUUCACAGAGUUUGCCAAGUAUAUUCAAGACAUGGGAGGACGCCAUGAAAAGACCAUGAAGUCACUGAUGGCUAAACCUGGAAGUUAUUCUAUAGAAUAAAUAAUAUAAUAUUAUAUUUAUAUAAUAAUAUAAAGAAAGCCUAGAGAAGGUUCAGCCUCUUCCUCAUGAGCAAGAGGAACAGUUAACUCUGCUCAAGGACAGUAACGAAGAGCUCUCUUUAAAGGUUUCUGAACAGCAGAACCCCAUCAACUCCCUGCCGGCUGAAAACACUCUCCAUGAACAAGUGAAGGAGAGCGAAGCCAGGCUCAGACAGAAGGAGGUCCAAAAGGAGGAGGACGCAACAUCUGAACUCCUCACAAAGGGGUCCUCUAGGAAGGAGCUGAAAAAGGCUAAGAGGCUGCAGAAACAACAGAGAAAGCAGGAGAAUAGAAAGAAAGAAGAGGAACUCCUCACACUCCUGUUCUAUAAAAAAACCAUCGUGGCUGCAGAGACGAGAAGAGUAUGAUGAACCAGACCUGCAGUAUAAAACAAAGAAGAACAAAGUGAAUAAGAGGGUAAAAAUUAAAUUAUAAAUAUAAAAUAAUAUAAACACAACAACACUCUAAAUGAUGGAGCUGAAGCCAUAUGUCCAGCAGUGACCUGAGAGUGACAUCAUUCAGGUAAUAAAAAUAUGAAUCACUGACA
rnacentral:lncRNA from 1 species